GACGAACGCUGGCGGCGUGCUUAACACAUGCAAGUCGAACGGAAAGGCCCUGCUUUUGUGGGGUGCUCGAGUGGCGAACGGGUGAGUAACACGUGAGUAACCUGCCCUUGACUUUGGGAUAACUUCAGGAAACUGGGGCUAAUACCGGAUAGGAGCUCCUGCUGCAUGGUGGGGGUUGGAAAGUUUCGGCGGUUGGGGCUGGACUCGCGGCUUAUCAGCUUGUUGGUGUGGUAGUGGCUUACCAAGGGUUUGACGGGUAGCCGGCCUUGGAGGGUUGCCGGCCACAUUGGGACUGAGAGAGGGCCCAGUCUCCUACGGGAGGCAGCAGUGGGGAAUAUUGCACAAUGGGCCGAAGCCUGAUGCAGCAACGCCGCGUGCGGGAUGACGGCCUUCGGGUUGUAAACCGCUUUCGCCUGUGACGAAGCGUGAGUGACGGUAAUGGGUAAAGAAGCACCGGCUAACUACGUG
rnacentral:rRNA from 1 species